rnacentral:lncRNA from 1 species
UGUUUGAAAAACACCAUUCUUCGAUUUUAUUUAAGUUUUCUUGGAGUUUAAUUUCAACAAUUUUCAUAUCUAAUCAGGAGUCGUCAGCAUAUAGAUCAAUAUUUCCUCCGUUUGUCGACAAUGCUAUGCCGUUGAUAUAAAGAAAAUAUCCGUAUAAACGCAAAAAACGCAUUUAAUAUAUUUAUCCAAGAAAAGAAACAACAGAGAUAUAUAGUAGUUCACUAGUCACAUUACUUUUGACCAAUCCAGUUUCUUGUUACAAAUUAGAUUGGAAUUAUUUGUAUAUGUUCGGAUUUCACGCUAAAUUCAACAGAGUCAACGUCAUGACGUCACUGAAGCAGUUGACGUCGCUCAUUAGCAACGGCAUAUUGCAUCGGGAAGCUCAUAUCGACGGUUUAUGUGAUAUUACAUCAUGAAAUAAGAAUGACUGAAGAAAACCACGGGUGUUUUGCGUGGCUCAUAAGUUUUAAAAAAUCAUGCAAUGAAAGGUGGUCGAGAUUCAGAAAUCGCUUCCGCCAACGGUUCUAUGCCAGAAGGGGCGAAGUACUUGAUCCAGAAACCUUGUUAAAUGAAACAGGGGCUCGUGACAUUUUCAUCAAGAAAACUCUUACAAGUCCAAUCAAGUAGUGCCCCAAAGGCUGGCUCCUGUGACUGCUGUGAAAGACGAUGCAAUUCUUUUUGAAAAUGCUCCACCGACGGAAACUACAUAUGAAGAGUUUAAAACACUUGUUGGAGAAUACGUGUCUUGCAUUAUAGCCAAGGCUGCAGACUCACUGAGACAAACGUCGCCGAGCAACACAAAAUCUAUCAGAGAGAAAUCAGCAGACGACGGCGUGUCCUUGUCGUCAAGUAUUAUAAACCAAAUUGCUGACAUAGCUGUAACCGAGAGUUUGUCAAACGUAGUGUUAGAAGACGACUUC